rnacentral:rRNA from 1 species
GACGAACGCUGGCGGCGUGCCUAAUACAUGCAAGUAGGACGCAGUUGCGAACGGGUGAGUAACGAGUAGGGAACUACCUCUUAGAGGGGGAUAACUAUUGGAAACGAUAGCUAAUACCGCAUACUAGUAGAUGGAUCUGCGUUGUAUUAGCUAGUCGGUAGGGUAAGGGCCUACCUAGGCAACGAGACAUAGCCGAACGGAGAGGGGGAUCGGCCAAACGGGGACGGAGACACGUACCAGACUCCUACGGGAGGCAGAAGUAGGGAAUCUGAGGCAAUGGGGGGAACCCUGACCGAGCAACGACGCGGGAGGGAAGAAGGUUUUCGGAUCGUAAAGCUCUGUUGUUAAGGAAGCGGUAAUGAACCAGAAAGGGACGGCUAACUACGUGCCAGCAGCCGCGGUAAUAC